ensembl:lncRNA
UGAGUCAGGUUUGCUCGGCUCCAUGCUAAUGCACGGAGAUGGAGGGUGUAAUUAGUAGAGAGGCAGGGCUGUGAUCUGCAGCGCGGGGCGGCCGGGCCACGCACCUCCUCUGUGCUUCAGAGCGUCGCUGAAGUUCUCCUUGUUUCGUGCUCCUCCAGCCCCAACGGUGUAUAUGCAGGGUUUGGUGGGAGCAGAGCCACAGACGUCGGAAGGUGUCUGUGUGUGAAACACCCCGCGUUAUGUAAUUCUGAUGUUGAAAGAUGACGGGAGAUUAAUUGAACCCAGCUCUGGUCGUCUUCAAGAACUACUGAGAAGUUUCUCGGCAAACUUCUCCACCCGAAGUAAAAUCACAGCCUCUGCCACCUUGCC